rnacentral:lncRNA from 1 species
GUUGAGGUAUGGCAGGAACCAUCACACUGGAAUAUACCCCACAUGGAGCUGCUCCACAUCUGCUUGAAGCUGUCCUGCGGUCGGCUUCCUCAGUGGUGCUCCUGUUUCUGGGGUCUGAGGCCUUGUGUGGGCAGGGUGGGCGGACCUUGUAGCUUGGUGGCAGGUCCGUGGUGGCGGCUUGGUGUAGGACGAGGCAGGGAUAAAGCUCCAAAUCACUGAUGGCGCUUUCUCCUCCUCCCAGGUGGGCAUGGGUCCUGCAGGACACCCUGGGCAUUGCCUUCUGCCUGUACAUGCUGAGGACCAUUCGCCUGCCCACCUUCAAGGCCUGCACACUGCUGCUGCUGGUGCUCUUCGUCUACGACAUC